rnacentral:rRNA from 1 species
GACGAACGCUGGCGGCGUGCUUAACACAUGCAAGUCGAACGGUGAAGCGCCUUCCUUUUUGGUGGGUGUGGAUGAGUGGCGAACGGGUGAGUAACACGUGAGUAACCUGCCCCCUUCUUCUGGAUAACCGCAUGAAAGUGUGGCUAAUACGGGAUAUUCUGGGUCUGUCGCAUGAUGGGUCUGGGAAAGAUAUUGUUUCGGUGGGGGAUGGGCUCGCGGCCUAUCAGCUUGUUGGUGGGGUGAUGGCCUACCAAGGCGGUGACGGGUAGCCGGCCUGAGAGGGUGGACGGUCACACUAGGACUGAGACACGGCCCAGACUCCUACGGGAGGCAGCAGUGGGGAAUAUUGCACAAUGGGCGCAAGCCUGAUGCAGCGACGCCGCGUGAGGAAUGGAGGCCUUCGGGUUGUGAACCUCUUUCGCCAGUGAAGCAGGCCUGCCUCGUUUGUGGGUGGGUUGACGGUAGCUGGAUAAGAAGCGCCGGCUAACUACGUG